ensembl:lncRNA
ACGUUACUGAGUAUACAUUAGUCAACUUAGUUUAGCGGCUUAAUUUGCUCUAGAAACCCUACCAACUAGCUGCUUUGAGAUCAGUUAGCUAGCUAGCUACAUCUCUAAACACUAGCUGGUUAGCCAGGUUAGAUAUCUUGGUAAUGUAGAGAGCAGGUCAGUUAUAGGGGAAGUAGUUCGCUAGAAUAGCUCCUGAAUAGUCUAGGAAGGGCACUGGUUAGGUCUAGUUAGGACACUGGUUAGGUCUAGUUAGGACACUGGUUAGGUCUAGUUAGGACACUGGUUAGGUCUAGUUAGGACACUGGUUAGGUCUAGUUAGGGCACUGGUUAGUGUCUAGUUAGGGCACUGGUUUGGUCUAUUUAGGACACUGGUUAGGUCUAGUUAGGACACUGGUUAGGUCUAGUUAGGACACUGGUUAGGUCUAGUUAGGACACUGGUUAGGUCUAGUUAGGACACUGUUUAGGUCUAGUUAGGACACUGGUUAGGCCACUGUGGCAGGAGGACACUGGUUAGGUCUAGUUAGGACACUGGUUAGGUCUAGUUAGGACACUGGUUAGGUAUAGUUAGGGCACUGGUUAGGUCUAGUUAGGGCACUGGUUAGGUCUAGUUAGGGCACUGGUUAGGUCUAGUUAGGACACUGGUUCGGUCUAGUUAGGACACUGGUUAGGUCACCGUGGCAGGAGGACAAUGGUUAGGUCUAGU